rnacentral:rRNA from 1 species
AGCAGCCGCGGUAAUUCCAGCUCCAAUAGCGUAUAUUAAAGUUGUUGCAGUUAAAAAGCUCGUAGUUAAAUUUCGGGGUUAGUAGGCUGGUCGUGCCAAUGGUAUGUACUGGCUUUACUGAUUCCUCCUUCUUGAAGAACUGUAAUGCCAUUAGUUUGGUGUUGCAGGGAAUCAGGACUGUUACUUUGAAAAAUUAGAGUGUUUAAAGCAGGCUUACGCUUGAAUACAUUAGCAUGGAAUAAUGAAAUAGGACGUUGAUUCUAUUUUGUUGGUUUCUAGGAUUGACGUAAUGAUUAAUAGGGAUAGUUGGGGGCAUUAGUAUUCAAUUGUCAGAGGUGAAAUUCUUGGAUUUAUUGAAGACUAACUACUGCGAAAGCAUUUGCCAAGGAUGUUUUCAUUAAUCAAGAACGAAAGUUAGGGGAUCGAAGACGAUCAGAUACCGUCGUAGUCUUAACCAUAAACUAUGCCGACUAGGGAUCGGAUGAUGUUAAUUUUUAAUGACUCAUUCGGCGCCUUACGG